GUGGGGAAUAUUGGACAAUGGGCGAAAGCCUGAUCCAGCCAUGCCGCGUGUGUGAAGAAGGCCUUUUGGUUGUAAAGCACUUUAAGCGAGGAGGAGGCUCCUUUAGUUAAUACCUAAAGAGAGUGGACGUUACUCGCAGAAUAAGCACCGGCUAACUCUGUGCCAGCAGCCGCGGUAAUACAGAGGGUGCAAGCGUUAAUCGGAUUUACUGGGCGUAAAGCGCGCGUAGGUGGCCAAUUAAGUCAAAUGUGAAAUCCCCGAGCUUAACUUGGGAAUUGCAUUCGAUACUGGUUGGCUAGAGUAUGGGAGAGGAUGGUAGAAUUCCAGGUGUAGCGGUGAAAUGCGUAGAGAUCUGGAGGAAUACCGAUGGCGAAGGCAGCCAUCUGGCCUAAUACUGACACUGAGGUGCGAAAGCAUGGGGAGCAAACAGGAUUAGAAACCCUUGUAGUCC
rnacentral:rRNA from 1 species